rnacentral:rRNA from 1 species
UACGUAGGUGGCAAGCGUUGUCCGGAUUUACUGGGCGUAAAGAGCGCGCAGGCGGUCGUUCAAGUCGCGUGUGAAAGCCCCCGGCUCAACUGGGGAGGGUCACGCGAUACUGAUCGACUCGAAGGCAGGAGAGGGUAGUGGAAUUCCCGGUGUAGUGGUGAAAUGCGUAGAUAUCGGGGAGGAACACCAGUGGCGAAGGUGACUACCUGGCCUGUUUCUUGACGCUGAGGCGCGAAAGCUAGGGGAGCAAACGGG